CCCAGGCACCCUCCCUGUGGGCUCUUUCCACAGACACAGUUGGCACCUCCUGCAGGCGAGCAGAGACCAAGGCGCUCUCCACGCCCUCAAAGAGCCAGAGGAGGGGCAGGCGGUGCGGCUCACCAGGCGAAGAGCGGCUUGCUGUCCUCCUUGGAGAGCUCGCACAGGCAGUUCAGCAGCAGGAGCGAGUCGCCCAGGAACUUGGGCGGCACGAUGUCGAUGACCAGCUUUCGCAGCGCGGCUGGACUGCUGUGCAGCGGGUUGGCGCGCAGGUCCGGCCGCUGCUUCAGGAUGCCGUAGGUGUUAAUGAGGAACUCGCUGAAGACCGGGUGCACCUCGCGGCUGUAGCCCAGCUUCUCCAGCCGGGCGGUCAGCGUCAGGUAGCGAUGCGUCAGCUCCCUCAGCUUCUUCUCAUCCACCGAGCCGUCCAGGGACUUGAUGGAGGUCUGCAGACACAGGAUGGUGGGGGCCACACCCCUGGUCAGGGCCACCUCCUGGCCCAGCAGUGUGGGACGGGGUAGGGCCGCCCGGGAAGCUUAAUGUAGGAACCCAGGUCCCCACCCCUCCAGCACCUCCAAAAGACGAGCCACCAGGGCCCUGCUUGGACCAAGCACAGCCUGGUGCCCACAGCAUCGGCCAGCCCCAGGAUGUGCCAGGGUGCUGAGCACCCGCUGGGUCAACCCCAGGAUGCGCCUGUGUGACCCCACCCCCAGGUUAGCCCCAGGAAGCAACCAGGUGCUCCACCCGGGUCAGCCCCAGGACGCCCGGGUGCCCAGCCCCUGAGGCAGUCAGGACAUACCUGCUUUAUCUUCUCGGGGAUGUUGGACACAGUGAAGCCAUAGAGCCGCGUCACACCAGGGAACACAUAGGCCAGGAUGCGCCGGUCCAGCUGGAAGGCAAUCUCUCCCACGAUGCGGCCAUCCUUCUCUGCACCCGCAAAGCUCUGGAUCUCUGCAUGAGGAGGGGGCGGGUGUGGCCAGGUCAUAGCUGUCCCAAGGGAUGUCCCUCACCCUGCCUGCAGGGCAAGGGCAAACAGAGACCUAGGGCAGAGGGAGCCUUCCCUCCCACCUGCCCUCCGAAGUCCCUUGGUGGCCAGGCGCUGUGGCCCACUCCUCUGCCAGAGGCAUGUGAAUCGCCUCAGAAGCUGAGUGAGCCCAGCCUGCUACUGUGAGGGCAGUUCCCGGGGUCUGCAUGCCCGGCACAGUGCUGUCCCUGGUGGACCUGGAUGCCGCCCUGCAUCCAGUAGGCACUUGGGUGAUUGCUGGGCGUGUGCCCUGGCCUGAGGACAGUGGGGAGCAAGUGGCCCCACAGCUGAGGGAAGGGUGAGACUCUGGAGUACGGGCCAGUCCACGUCUGCUCGAUAACAAGCCGGCUCUUUCCAACCACGGUGCAGGAGACUACUGGGCAGGCAGGAGACCCUGUCCAUCAUUCCCUGACACCACUUGGAAAACUUCCCCACAAAAAAGCUGCUCUCAAAUGCUCCUCUGGCAGCCACCGACGCCCCUGGCGGCACUGGCUAUCUGUCCAAUGCAGGCCAAGACCCUUCAGGACAGAGGGCUUUUUGAGAAUGAGUGGCACCUGAGCUUGACGUCACCGUGAGAGCCCUGCCUGAGAGUGUCUGAGACACUCCCUCCAUUUGGAGACCCCCUCUCUGCACCGUCCCUGAGGUGCAAGGAGCGAGCUUGCGCAGAGCCGCUCCCUUGCUGUGCCACUGGGACUCCCCCUGGCGCCACGCGCUGGCACACCCACAUGCACAGCCUCCUGAAGCCCCUGAACCCUCCAGACAGUUUGUGGUAGGAACCCUCCACAGAGCUGCCGGCUGGGCGGGGCCUGCUGAUCUGGGCAGAGAGCAGGUACAGGUCCUGUGCCCACCUGACACAGCUCAGCACACAGUGCCCCAGGCCUGACCUGCCCUGUCUGGCCUCGGGGUGUUGGGGGCACUCCAAACCAGCCAUGGAGAUCCAGGACCUCCUCGCCACCACGGGAGUGUGAGGGGCCAAGACCAGGACCAUCUCUUGCAGGACCUGGGCCUGCUGCUCACCCCUGGACAGACGUAGGCCCACCAGGGGCCAAGGCCUGUGCCAGGGCCAGAUUCACAAUGACGGACAGCUGUGUCAGGCAGGUGAGCCUGGAUAGCUGGGCCGCGAACUUGGCUGCUGUCAAGGGGCAUGGGACCACACAGGAGGAAGCUUCCACAGGGGGAGGUGGGACCCCCACCCUGGGCCCGUAGCAGAGGUGACCAGGCACACAAGAGGCCAGGCCAGUGCUGUCCAGGGACACUGUGUCAACUUCUUUGACCCUUGCAGGACCAGUCCCUCCCAAGGCAAGCAUCUACACCAUGUGGCCCAAAGUGUGCUCUGUGGAACACUGGGCCUGCCCGGGAGGUGCAGAAAGGUUGUGUGCGGCCAGGGUCAGCAUGACCUGCCCUGCUCCCCUGCAUAAGCUGCUAGAAUGUGACACAGACUUUGCCUCCCCAGCCAGACACAGCAGGGCCCACCCCUGGGCCUCCUCUAUGACCGGGGCUCCUCUGGCCGAGGAGGAAGAGGCCUCUGGGUGGGCAGCUGUGACAGGGCAGGAGCCAGGCUGGGGCCGGAAGAUACAGGCUGCAUCUGCGCCCUCCCUUGGCAGCACUUUCCGGCCUUUAUAAUGUGAUUUGCCCACAUGAAGGUCCUUUAGGGCGAUCCUGAGACAGCUGCAGGAACUGAGUCCAGGGCACCUGCUACAACAUUUUCAUCUCCUAAGAACAAAUCCUGUGCCUGAUAACAACUACUCCCGCAGCCCUGGCGACCAAUGCUUGGCUUUGCCUCCCUGUGGGUCCCCCUGUUCUGCACGUUCCACAUGACUUGUGGCCUUUCGACCUGGCUUCACACGCUCAGCAUGGUAUUCCGAGGUCCAUCCUCUGUUGUAGUGCAUGCCAGUGCUUCACUCCUGUUUAUGGCUGAGUAGUAUUCCAUCAUGGAGCUAGACCAUACAGUUUAUCUGCACCCUGGCCAGCGCGUGGGCGUCUGGGCUCUUCCCACUCUGGCUAAUCUGAGCAUGGCUGCAUGAGCAUUCAAGUAAAGGCUCUCAGGUGGAUGUCCGCCUUCCACUCCUGUGGGUGCACACCAAGGAACGGGGUCGUGCCAUGUGGGAACACUGGGUUCAGCCUUGUGAGGACUGCGAGCUGUUUUCUCAGGGGCUUCCCCCUGGCAUUCCCACCAGAGUGUAUGUCCCAAUUCCAUUUCCCCGCCCAGGCCACUGCAGUGAAAGGCAGCUCACACAGGUCUCCCUGUAUUGCGCUGAUGGCCACAGACCCUGUGCACCUCUUCACCUGCCUGCUGGUCAUCUGCACAUCUUCUUUGGAGGGUUGUCCACCCACGCCCUUGGCUAUUUUGACUAGAUUACUUGUAAGAGCCCUUCCAAGAAUGUGAUUUUUUUUAAAUUUUUUUAGUAGUAGAUGGACACAAUACCUUUAUUUUACUUAUUUAUUUUCAAGUGGUGCUGAGGAUGGAACUCAGGGCCUCACACAUGCUAGGCGAGUGCUCUACCACUGAGCUACGACCCCAGCCCCCAAGAAUGUGAUUUGCAGAUACUUUCUCCCACUCUCUAGGGUGAUGCUUCAUUGUUUUGAAACUCUUCUUUGGAGCACAAAAGUGUUUACUCUGGGCGAAGUUGAUGGAGUCCAUCAGUCUCUCUGGUUGCCAAUGCUGUUGGUGUCAUGCCUAAGCAGGCCCUGCCAGGCCCACACUACACAGACCUUGCUCUGGGCUUCCUUUGAGGGCCACGGCUCAGGAUCCUGGAGCUCUCUUGGGCAUCUGAUGCGUUCUGAGUUGGGUUUUGUGCGAGGUGGGGUCCCACAGCUUCCUCUGCUGGCACACGUCACCCAGCACCACUUGUUGAAGAUGGUUCUUUCUCCAUUGGGUUGCCUGGCACCCUUGUGGGACACCAACCACGAAUGUCUGAGCUUAUUUCGGGGGCUCUAGAUCCUUUUCCCCUGGUCUCUGUCUGUCCUUAUGAUGGGACCACACAACUUGAUUGCUGUAGCCUGACAGGGGGUCUUAGAAUCAAAAAGGUGAGUCUCCCAAUUUUGUUCUCCUUUUUAAAAUUGCUUUGCCCAUUCUGGGUCCCUUGUAUUUCCAUGGGUUCAGCUUAUCAAAGGUUCAGCUUAUCAAGAUUUUGUAAAGAAGCCAGCUGGGACUUUGAUAAGGAUGGCAUUAAAUCUAUAAAUCCAUGCAAGUUACUAUGAAACAAUAUUAAGCCUUCUAAUUCAUGACCCAAGACUCACUGUCUACUUAGGUGUUUGAUCACUUUUAACACUGCCUGUGGUUUUGGUGGACUUCUUUACGGAAACUGCGGACAGAGACUGCGCAGCGGCACACAGAGCAGGCGGGCGCAAGAGGGAGGUGACUCCCCAUCCCAAGGAGCUGCGCUAGGGGGCCUCUGCUCCCCCCACCCCUCUGAAGCUUUAAUCGGCAGAUGAGACAGCUACAUCUGAGACGCUCUAGAACUCCUCUCUAUCCAAACUCGGCUCCCACCUGUUCUUCAAAGAAGAAGGUCAAUCCAACCAAUGCACCUCUAGUCCCACACCAAAGCCACCACGUCAGGAGUGAGAGAUCACAGCAGCCCAAGCACAUCUGCAGGGAGACGAGAAAUGUUAGCAAGAACUUCAGGCCAAAAGCCCUGACAGCCUAGAGAAAAUGGACCAGGUUCUUAGAAGACAAACUACAGGCUGGGCAUGAUGGCCACACUGUGACCCCCAGAAGUCUGGGAGGCUAGGCAGGAGGGUCACAAGUUCAAGGCCAGCCUGAGCAACUUAGCAGGGACCUAUCUCAAAAUGAAAAGGGCUGGGGACGGGGUUCAGUGGCAGAGCCCCUUGGCUCAAUCCUCUGGCUCGAAAAGACAAACCACUGAAGCUUACUCAAGAAGAACUAGACAAUUGGAAUAGCCAUAGAUCAGUAAAAUGGGACUUCUCAGGGGGAAAAUUCUUAGAGAAAAUUCAAGGCUCAAGUGGUUUGAUUGGUGAAUUCUACGAGAUAUUUAAGGAGUAAGUACUACAAAUUUGACACAAACUCUACCAAGACAAUUAAAGAGGAGGAACGUUUCCAUCUGGGUUGAGGCCAGCCAUCUGAUACCAACUCAGAAAAUGGCAUUAACAGAAGACUGCAGCCCAACAUUCCUCACGAGCACAGAUUCUUAACAGAAUCUGGGCAAACUGGAUCUCAUAAUACAAAAAGAUGGAACACACUGUGAGCAAAUAGGAUCUACCUCAAGAAUGCAUGGUCAGUUCACAUCUGAACACAGGACCUGUGUGGCGCGCAUGGUGUACGACCAGGAGAAGGGGAGGUUAGACUCCAAGAGUGAGGAUAUGUCGAAGUAUACUCUGCCAUCAUGGAUGACCACAAAGAACAGAUAAAAAAUCAAGAAGAAGAAAGGAAUAAUGGUUGGCUUAGCACUCAGCAAGCAGUGUGGUUUACCAUAUGCUGAGGUGUGGGUGGUAGGCUGGUCUCGGGGCGGUGGGAGGUGCUGUGAGAGUAAGAGUGAGCCUAGUGGUCAUCCCUCAGCUCUCUGGGACCUGCCCUCCAGUGCAGAUGGGACUGUCUCUGGCCAGCUGCUUCCUGGCUCCUGGGGCCACUUGCUCUGAGAAGGGCUCCUGCCAUGGCAUGCUGCCUCACCACAGGCUCACACCAGUGGUACCCCUGACCCUGGACUUAAACCUCCAGAACCAUGAGCCAAAAUAAACUCUCUUUACUUCAUAAAUACCCUGUGUGCCAGGUGUUUCAUUAUAGUGAUGUGAAACUGACUGAUACACCAUGAUCACCAACCGCAAAGGACAACCAAGUGCUCAUCUCAAUAGAGGCAGGAAAGCAACUGACAAAGUCCAACAUACAUUCCUGACAAAUAAGCAAACUAGAACUCAGAGGGAACUUCUUCAGUACAAUGAAGGGCAGCUACAGACACUCAGCUAGCACCAGGCUCACUGGUGAGAGGCUGAAAGCCCCACAUCAGGGAAGGAUGUCACCACUGUGUUGGCCACUGUCCAGCCCUGGUCUAGAGGAAGAGAUGACAGGCACUGGGCUGGGGGCGUGCCUCAGGGGUCCAGGGCCUGCUGGGCCUGGGCAAAGCCUGGGUUCCGUCCCCAGCACCGAAAGGAAAAGGAAAAAAGAAAAAGGCACAUACAUUAGGAAUUUUUAAAAAGUUUGAAAAUCUGUCUUCAUUCACAACCCAAUCAUCUGCGUAGCUUUAAAAUGCCACGGAGGAGGCUCCCGGGGAAGAUGGCAGAAUGGAUGUGCCCUCUGCAUAGCUCUGCAAGGGGCAGAAACACGCUCAGGAGAAAAAGAGGAGCUCCAGGGGGUGGGAGAGCGCAGACACCAGGGACCCACCCAAAACCACUAGAACAAACUAAUGUUGUGCAGGAUGUAAAGAUUAAGCCAGAAAGAUCACAGACACGUCACUCAGAACCACAAGUUUCCCCAGAGAAACAGACCAACAGGGCGUGCCCAUGAAGAGGGAUCUAGCUCACGGGACUGGCUCUCACAUCCGAGGAGACGGUGAGCCCCAGAUCAGCAAGCUGGAAACCCAGGAGACCUGAGGUGUGCGUGUGGCUCCUGCCCAAAGGCCAGCAGGCUGGACACCCAGGAAGAGUGACGUGCAGGGUCAGGACAGAGGCAGCCAGGACUCGGGAGAGCCACAACACGUGAGGAAGAGGACAAAGUCGGAGAGCCUGCAUGUCCUGCAGGAUUCGCAGUCUUUAAAACGACAGGACUCCGAUCCAGGAGGACACAGACAGGUGGACGGAGACGCAUGGAGGGUGCGGGAACAGCCUCACAGGUGCACAGACACAGAUUUUCGGCAAGGAACCAGGCGGUUCAGCCACAGGGCACUGCCCCUGAGCACUGGGGCUGGAGGAGUAGACGUUUAUAUGUAAACCCACACCCAUGCAGAAAUGACUCGGACUGAUCAGGGGCCCGAGUGUAAAACCUACAGCUGGAAGAUGGAGGAAAGAACCUGUUACCCUGGGUUUGGCAAAGACUUUCCAAAAUUAUAAACUACAAAAUGUACAAACUAUGGGGCUAGGAUUGUGGCUCGGCGGUUCAACGCUUCCUCACACGUGUGAGGCCCUGAUCCUCAGCACCACAUAAAAACAAUGAAUAAUGUAGUUCUGCCACCUGUACACCAGGACAGAGGCAGCCAGGUAGGAGUUCUCCCUGACUCUGGGGAAGGUCUGAUCAGGCCUUCAACUCACUGGGUGAGGGACGGAAGGUCAAGCAGGAACUCGACACCCUCAAAGUGUACAGCACCCUGGGGAGCCCUGGGGAGCACUGGCACCGCAGCCCCUGCUCUGGCCUCUGCUGGCACUCCCCUGGUGACAGGUGGCACCUGCCUCAGCAGGUGAAUGAGAAAUUAUAUCCCAUCUGAUUCAAAUGUAUGAUAUGUCAAGAUCAUUGUACUGUCAUGUGUAACUAAUUAAAACAAAGAAAAAAAUAGAAAA